CCCCUCUCAGGGUCACACCUGGAGAGUUUCCAGCAUUCUAUCUGCCUCGACUAUGGGAGGGAGAGUCAAGCAGAGGCCUAUCCAUUCCAUUCCUAGCAUGGGCAGUGGCUAGUGAGUGGAAGGCAAGCUGCUACAAAC